UUAAACAACUGUUUUGUUGUUGUUGUUGUUGUUGUUUUUUAGAUUAAUUCACUUUUCUGAGAGGUCUUUUACACAAGUAUGCAUAGGGGUGUUGUCUAGGAAAGCCUUGGUGAGUGUAAACAAACGUACCCAUGACACAAGAUGGACAAUAAAAGGGUCCGAGUGGAGUGGACAAGGGUUCAGACAGGCAUGUCCUCCUCUUCAGCAGAAACGCAGGUCCUGGAAGUUCAGUGUACACAUUCUGUCUAGUGUACAUUGUGUGGAGGCCAGCAUUGAGAGUUGAAGAAUCUUCCUUCCAGAUGUGUUCCACCUGAAGAAGAUCGUCUCUUUGACCUGUCCUCCCUCCAACUCCCCACUCUGUCUCUGUUGCCACAGGCAUAUAAACUCCUUUUCUCAUAAAUAUUAUUUCAGAAUGGGAUUUAUUAACCUGCUGAUGACGCACAUAUCACUCUGGAGAUCCAGCAGCCACUGGAGAGACGCAAAGCCAAAAAUGGAGGCAGAGUGGAAGAGGUUUACAGGCUUGGAGUUGUGUGCUUGCUGUCAGUGCAGGAUACAGGGGGAGUGGAGGAUAAAAUCCAGACCUCUUAUAAAGACCCACACAGAGAAUCCAGUCAGGAGAAGGUUCUGACCCAAAGCUUGCUUAAUCUCCCGCUGAAUUAUCCAGAAGAAAUAUUUCACAGUACUCUCUCUCUCUCUCUCUCUCUCUCUCUCUCUCUCUCUCUCUCUCUCUGUGGGUGUGUGUAGAUGGGAGGAAAGGGGCAAGGGGCCGUCACUUAGUUAUGUAACAGGCUCAGGGGAGAGCUGCAGGCUGGAUGAUGGGCGGAGUGAACAGGGCAGUAAGAGUGGAAAAAAAAGAACUGAAACACAUCAACAUAGCACUAACAGUGACAUCAUGACACAGAUCCUCUUUCCUGAAAGAUUUCCUGAAAGACACACAUACACAUACACACACACGUACACACGUUUGUUUUACUAUUCUUGUGAGGACCUUCUAUUGACAUAAUUAUAAUUAUUACUGUAACCAAUUAAUGCUAUGCCUGCACCUAAGUCUAACCCUAUCCUGUAACCUUUGGUUACAUCAAUAACCAAAAGGAAACAUUUUGCAUAAUUUAGAUUUUUGUUUAAAUAAGCUGCAGUUUUUUUUUGUGGAAAAAAAAGCAGUUAUAUUGUCCCCACAAGGUCAAAACUCUCAGAUAUUUCCUAUUCUUGUGGGCACAUUUUGCACACACCAAAAUAUAUUUUUCCUCAUAUGAAUUCAUAGGGGUGCCAAUAAUUGUGGCACACCUAU